GGUUUUGUAGUGUAGUGGUUUGACUGCUGGACUAUGACUCUGGAGUCCAGGAUUUGAAUCCCUGCUUGGCUA